AGAUACUUAGCUCAAUUGGUAGAGCAUUCGGCUGUUAACCGAAAGGUUAUAGGAUCAUCCCCUAUAGUAUCCGUUA
rnacentral:tRNA from 1 species